rnacentral:rRNA from 1 species
AGAGUUUGAUCCUGGCUCAGGAUGAACGCUGGCGGCGUGCCUAACACAUGCAAGUCGAACGUGAGGGUGCAGCGAUGUGCCUGAAAGUGGCGAACGGGUGAGUAACACGUAGGUGACCUACCCUGAAGUGGGGGAUAACCACUGGAAACGGUGGCUAAUACCGCAUGAGCCUCUUGGGAUGGGAAUCUUGGGAGGGAAAGCUUGAGUGCUUCAGGAGGGGCCUGCGUCCGAUUAGCUAGUUGGUGAGGUCAAGGCUCACCAAGGCGAUGAUCGGUAGCUGGUCUGAGAGGAUGAUCAGCCACACGGGAACUGAGACACGGUCCCGACUCCUACGGGGGGCAGCAGUGAGGAAUAUUGCACAAUGGGGGCAACCCUGAUGCAGCAACGCCGCGUGGAGGAUGAAGGUCUUUGGAUUGUAAACUCCUUUUCUGCGGGACGAGGAAGGACGGUACCGCAGGAAUAAGUCACGGCUAACUACGUGCCAGCCGCCGCGGUAA